GAUGAACGCUGGCGGCGUGCCUAACACAUGCAAGUCGAACGAAGCACCUUACCUGAUUCUUCGGAUGAAAGUUUGGUGACUGAGUGGCGGACGGGUGAGUAACGCGUGGGUAACCUGCCCUGUACAGGGGGAUAACAGCUGGAAACGGCUGCUAAUACCGCAUAAGCGCACGAGGAGACAUCUCCUUGUGUGAAAAACUCCGGUGGUACAGGAUGGGCCCGCGUCUGAUUAGCUGGUUGGCAGGGUAACGGCCUACCAAGGCAACGAUCAGUAGCCGGUCUGAGAGGAUGAACGGCCACAUUGGAACUGAGACACGGUCCAAACUCCUACGGGAGGCAGCAGUGGGGAAUAUUGCACAAUGGGGGAAACCCUGAUGCGGCAACGCCGCGUGAGUGAAGAAGUAUUUCGGUAUGUAAAGCUCUAUCAGCAGGGAAGAUAAUGACGGUACCUGACUAAGAAGCUCCGGCUAAAUACGUG
rnacentral:rRNA from 1 species